AGCCGUGCUAAGGUAAUUGCAAACGGGUUUUCUAAUGAUCAGUUAGCUAAUCCAAGUUUAUCAUUUUAAAAGGCUAACACAACAUGACAUUGGAACACAGGAGUGAUGGUUGCUGAUAACGCGUCUCCUUCCUGAGCGGUAUGACGGCUGCAUGGUCCAUGGUGUUUAUACUUGCGCACGAUCGUUUGUACAGAUGAACAUGGUACCUUCAGGUGUUUGGAAAUUGCUCCUUAGGUUGAAGCAGACUUGUGGAGGUCUACAAUUUUUUAUUCUGAGGUCUUGGCUGGUUUAUUUUUAUUUUCCCUUGAUGUCAAGCAAAGAGGCGCAGAGUUUGAAGAUUCUUCAAAGUCGCCACCCUUUCCUUUGAUGACAGCUUUGCAUACACUUGGCAUUCUCUCAACCAGCUCCUCGAGAAAUGCUUUUCCAACAGUCUUGAAGGAGUUCCCACAUAUGCUGAGCACUUGUUGGCUGCUUUUCCUUCACUCUGCGGUCUCUCACAAUUGGGUCGAGGUCAGGUGAUUGGAGGCCAGGUCAUCUGAUGCAGCACUCCAUCACUCUCCUUCUUGGUUAAAUAGCUCUUACACAACAUGUAGGUGUGUUUUGGGUCAUUGUCCUGUUGAAAAACAAAUGAUAGUCCCACUAUGUGCAAACCAGAUGGGAUGGCGUAUCGCUGCAGAACGGAAUGAGCAGGUAUCCGUACUUCUUACUGGUACUGUAUGUAUGUGUGUAUAUGUAUGUGUAUAUGUAUGUAUGUAUGUGAAUUAUUAUUCAAUACAAUAUAUAGGCUUGCUUAGAUGUAACUUUUUGCAGUGUGUGGUUGUGCCAUUGUCUGUAUUGAUAGUUCAUGACAACCACAGGUCACACCUUAAUUGGGGAGGACAAGCUCAUAGUAAUGGCUGGAAUGGAGUGAAUGGAAAAGUAUUGUACACAUUUAACAUGGUUUCCAUGUGUAGGAUACCAUUCCAUUCAUUCUAUUCCAGCCAUUAUGAGCCGGCCUCCCCUCAGCACCCUCCUGUGAUGACUUGGUCUCAUUAGAAUGACAUCUGGAUUCUGCUGCAAACUGAGAAAUUCAUUCAGACAAACUGACAGCAUUAGAAAUCAACUGUGAUUAAAUCCUUUAAUAUUCUUAAUUGUUUAAUUGAAUAAACAGAUAUUUAGAAAAAGGACAAAUAAGUGGCACAUCUUGACUCAACUUUUAAGCCAAAAAGGGUCAGAUUUCAGUGUCGUAUUUCUAACGUUACCAAAUUCUUAAGUUUCGAAAACUUGACCAAAAAUGAGAAAUUCAAAGUUAGUUGGAUUUUUUCCCCAAGUAAAAACCCACAGGUUAACUUAUCUGCAUGUUCUGUUGCACUGAAAUAUAUACACCUUAUACACAGAGCUGGACUGAUAGAUACCUGAGGGAGAGGUGGUACUGUAGUUUGGAGUUAUGGGAAGUAGACUGGAAGUAGACUGGAGAUGAGAACAUUAUGCCCCAAAACGUAGAACAUAUAUCUCCUAAACUACUGUAACAGUUGUAUUGACAGAUGUAACAGAGGUAUCGAACACAGAAGCAUCACGGGACAGUAAGUAUUAUUAAAAUGGGGGCCUCUUAACUAUUACUGUAACUAGGAGCAGAUUCUCAUGGGACCCUCAUCUCUUCAGCUUUACAAAUAGCUAUACUUUAACUAACCCUAACCCAUUUUUUCUGGAGUGAGAAAUAAAACACGAGUUCCUCGUCAUUUUAACAGAGGGCAGAUUUAUGUGAAUCUUUCUGAGUCAGUGUCCCUCACUACUUGCCAAUCAAAACCUAAUACUACUGAGGAAGUGUUGUCUAAGUUCACACACACACAAUGCAAUGAAGCUGCACUCUGUCUGUUAAGGCUUGCAUGAAUCUGUCCUGGUUAAAAAAAACAUUUAACGCAAAAAAAAAAAAAAAAAAAAAAGGACA